rnacentral:rRNA from 1 species
CACGUAGGGGCCAAGCGUUGUCCGGAUUCAUUGGGCGUAAAGAGCUUGUAGGCGGUUCUGUUAGUCGGGUGUGAAAUCUCCGGGCUCAACCCGGAGGGGCCACCCGAUACUGCUGUGACUCGAGUCCGGUAGGGGAGUGGGGAAUUCCUGGUGUAGCGGUGAAAUGCGCAGAUAUCAGGAGGAACACCGGUGGCGAAGGCGCCACUCUGGGCCGGUACUGACGCUGAGGAGCGAAAGCGUGGGUAGCAAACAGG